GGUCCAGACUCCUACGGGAGGCAGCAGUGGGGAAUAUUGCACAAUGGGCGCAAGCCUGAUGCAGCCAUGCCGCGUGUGUGAAGAAGGCCUUCGGGUUGUAAAGCACUUUCAGCGGGGAGGAAGGCGUUAAGGUUAAUAACCUUGGCGAUUGACGUUACCCGCAGAAGAAGCACCGGCUAACUCCGUGCCAGCAGCCGCGGUAAUACGGAGGGUGCAAGCGUUAAUCGGAAUUACUGGGCGUAAAGCGCACGCAGGCGGUCUGUCAAGUCGGAUGUGAAAUCCCCGGGCUCAACCUGGGAACUGCAUUCGAAACUGGCAGGCUAGAGUCUUGUAGAGGGGGGUAGAAUUCCAGGUGUAGCGGUGAAAUGCGUAGAGAUCUGGAGGAAUACCGGUGGCGAAGGCGGCCCCCUGGACAAAGACUGACGCUCAGGUGCGAAAGCGUGGGGAGCAAACAGGAUUAGAUACCCUGGUAGUCCACGCCGUAAACGAUGUCGAUUUGGAGGUUGUGCCCUUGAGGCGUGGCUUCCGGAGCUAACGCGUUAAAUCGACCGCCUGGGGAGUACGGCCGCAAGGUUAAAACUCAAAUGAAUUGACGGGGGCCCGCACAAGCGGUGGAGCAUGUGGUUUAAUUCGAUGCAACGCGAAGAACCUUACCUGGUCUUGACAUCCACAGAACUUUCCAGAGAUGGAUUGGUGCCUUCGGGAACUGUGAGACAGGUGCUGCAUGGCUGUCGUCAGCUCGUGUUGUGAAAUGUUGGGUUAAGUCCCGCAACGAGCGCAACCCUUAUCCUUUGUUGCCAGCGGUCCGGCCGGGAACUCAAAGGAGACUGCCAGUGAUAAACUGGAGGAAGGUGGGGAUGACGUCAAGUCAUCAUGGCCCUUACGACCAGGGCUACACACGUGCUACAAUGGCAUAUACAAAGAGAAGCGACCUCGCGAGAGCAAGCGGACCUCAUAAAGUAUGUCGUAGUCCGGAUUGGAGUCUGCAACUCGACUCCAUGAAGUCGGAAUCGCUAGUAAUCGUAGAUCAGAAUGCUACGGUGAAUACGUUCCCGGGCCUUGUACACACCGCCCGUCACACCAUGGGAGUGGGUUGCAAAAGAAGUAGGUAGCUUAACCUUCGGGAGGGCGCUUACCACUUUGUGAUUCAUGACUGGGGUGAAGUCGUAACAAGGUAACCGUAGGGGAACCUGCGGUUGGAUCACCUCCUUACCUUAAAGAA
rnacentral:rRNA from 1 species